GUGUACAGCUAUGACACCCUGAACAAGCCUGAUCCCAUCUGAUCUCGAAAGCUAAGCAGGGUUGGGCCUGGUUAGUAGUUGGAUGAGAGACCACCUAGGAAGACCAGGUGCUGCAGGCA
ensembl:rRNA 5S_rRNA 5S ribosomal RNA